UACGUAGGGGGCAAGCGUUGUCCGGAAUCAUUGGGCGUAAAGAGCGCGUAGGCGGUCCGAUAAGUCGGUUGUGAAAACUGGGGGCUCAACCCUCAGAGGCCGACCGAUACUGUCGGGCUAGAGUCCGGAAGAGGCGAGUGGAAUUCCUGGUGUAGCGGUGAAAUGCGCAGAUAUCAGGAAGAACACCCGUGGCGAAGGCGGUUCUCUGGGACGGUACUGACGCUGAGACGCGAAAGCGUGGGGAGCGAACAGG
rnacentral:rRNA from 1 species